UACGUAGGGGGCAAGCGUUGUUCGGAUUUAUUGGGCGUAAAGAGCGCGUAGGCGGCCAGGCAGGUCUGGUGUGAAAACUCGAGGCUUAACCUCGAGAUGUCAUCGGAAACCAUUUGGCUAGAGUCCGGAAGAGGAGAGUGGAAUUCCUGGUGUAGCGGUGAAAUGCGCAGAUAUCAGGAAGAACACCAAUGGCGAAAGCAGCUCUCUGGGACGGUACUGACGCUGAGACGCGAAAGCGUGGGGAGCGAACAGG
rnacentral:rRNA from 1 species